GACAGAGGGUGCAAACGUUGUUCGGAAUUACUGGGCGUAAAGCGUGUGUAGGCGGCUACGUAAGUCGGAUGUGAAAGCCCCAGGCUCAACCUGGGAAGUGCACUCGAUACUGCGUAGCUUGAGUAUCGGAGAGGUUGGUGGAAUUCUCGGUGUAGAGGUGAAAUUCGUAGAUAUCGAGAGGAACACCGGUGGCGAAGGCGGCCAACUGGACGAAUACUGACGCUGAGACACGAAAGCCAGGGGAGCAAACGGGG
rnacentral:rRNA from 1 species